UACGUAGGGCGCAAGCGUUGUCCGGAAUUAUUGGGCGUAAAGAGCUCGUAGGCGGCCUGUUGCGUCCGCUGUGAAAUCCCGGGGCUCAACCCCGGGCGUGCAGUGGAUACGGGCUGGCUGGAGGCAGGCAGGGGAGAACGGAAUUCCUGGUGUAGCGGUGAAAUGCGCAGAUGUCAGGAGGAACACCGGUGGCGAAGGCGGUUCUCUGGGCCUGUACUGACGCUGAGGAGCGAAAGCGUGGGGAGCGAACAGG
rnacentral:rRNA from 1 species